GCAGUCCAGGGCCCUUGUGGUUGCCUCAUGAAGCUCCAGGGACUCACACUCUUCCUGUCCUUCUGCCCUGCCAAAAUCUUAGAAGACUGACACUCUCAAGGUCACAGGAUGGCUGCUCAGUCACACCAUCUGUGCUUCAGGUGCUUAAAUAGCAGGAAGGGAGAUGGGAAGGAACAGGAGGGCAAAACAUGUUCUUCUGGAAGUGCUGCCCAAAGACAUGGCCACCGGGGAGGAAAGGAAGAAAGCAGCACAGAGCCAAGUUUGAAGUCCUGGAAGAGAAUCUCCUGAGACAUUGGCUGAGGAACACAGAAAGUUACUUGUGGCAGAAUCUUUCUGGAAUUUUUCCAUUCUGGGAUACUCUGAGCCCAUUUUGUCACAGGUCAUCAUGACUUGAUGAAUGAAUAUCAUAUUGGUUAAUUCCUGCGGCUUAAUAAAAUCCUUUGUUCAAGAACAGCAUGAAAUUUUCAGAGUGUAUCGACUCCUUGUUAGCUAUGAUUGAGACUAAGAGUGCCU
rnacentral:lncRNA from 10 species